GUAAAUUAAGUUGUCUAUUAUACUCAGCUUUCUUUUAUCUUUUUUCUCUGUACAAAGUCUCUAUCUCGUUUUGACAAAAAUAUAUUUCAAUUAACAAACAAUUUUUUAACUAUAAGAUGACUUUCAAAAAUGCUCUUUUGAUUCUUGGAAUUUUAGCUGUGAUUACUCUAAUCCCUUCGGAGGUUCUAGCUCGGGACUUACCAGCAUCAUCAAAUACUCUACAAGGAGCUAAUACAAUGGAAGAAAUAAAUCAAAUUAAUGGACCAAAUGGGUUAGGAAGGCAUGUUAUUGACUUGGAUGGUGGAAAAUACAACAUCGAUAUCAGAUGUACCAGAAUUUGUGGCGGAUUGGGAUUUAUUUAUUGUUGCUAAUGACACACAAGUGAAAGACUAUGUUAAAUCUUGUGUCUAGUAUCUAUGAGAAUAAAAAUAAAAUAAAAUGGAUUAUGUUUAUGUAUACCCUAUACCUAAACUUUAAUCUGGUAUACCAUAGGUUGAAUUAAUUAAUAGCUAUGUGCUUAUUAGUUUGCAAAAAUUAUGUAACUGGAUCUAUAAGAAUUGCAUAAAUAAUAUUUUUUUUAUCCAA